rnacentral:rRNA from 1 species
CGCGGUGGCAAUAGUACGUUGAAUGCACCAGUGUCCAAUGAACCUCUGGAGUUAAGCAACGAAGUGCGUGGUUGGUAUCCGAAUGGGUGACCAUCAAGGUAAUCACGUGCUUUUCCCG